GGGUUAGAUUUCAUUAGUCUUUACUAUCUAUAGAUUAACAACUUUUGGUUAUAUUUAUAAUUUAGAAUCAUCAUUGAAGGUGGAGCGCGAUUGUACAGUUAAUUAAUUAUAUUGAUGUGCAAUUUGUAUGCAAGAGAGUGACAUUCCGUUGUAUUAUGUGCCAAUUCCAAAAAGUUAUGCGAGUAUUGUCUCCCUUUAACAGGUUCAUUAUUUUAUAAUUAAGUUU
rnacentral:lncRNA from 1 species